rnacentral:rRNA from 1 species
CCUACGGGAGGCAGCAGUGGGGAAUAUUGCGCAAUGGGCGAAAGCCUGACGCAGCGACGCCGCGUGAGGGAUGAAGGUCUUCGGAUCGUAAACCUCUGUCAGCAGGGAAGAACGGUCACUGUGCUAAUCAGCAGUGAAUUGACGGUACCUGCAAAGGAAGCACCGGCUAACUCCGUGCCAUCAGCCGCGGUAAUACGGAGGGUGCGAGCGGUAAUCGGAAUUACUGGGCGUAAAGCGCUCGUAGGCGGUAUGUCAAGUCAAGGGUGAAAUCCCCGCGCUCAACGUGGGAUCUGCCUUUGAAACUGGCAAACUGGAGUGUGUGAGAGGAUAGUGGAAGUCCAGGUGUAGGGGUGAAAUCCGUAGAUAUCUGGAGGAACAUCAGUGGCGAAGGCGACUAUCUGGAACAUAACUGACGCUGAGGAGCGAAAGCGUGGGUAGCAAACAGGAUUAGAUACCCGAGUAGUC